GGAUGAGAGGGUGAUCUGGCUAGCUAGGUGGGGGUCGCCUUUCUCCCUCACAGCCUUAAUGUGCAUCCUUCCAAAGCUGCGUGCUUGUUCAGUUGGUUGGAUGAUGUUUCCCCAAAAAGAGGAGGAUGGUCGUCAGUCAAGGGUAUAUGAUCAGCUGUUCUCCCUGUUAGAACCUUCACACAAACUCUCCAAACUAUGCAGCCCAGAUCAUGGAGCCAUGAGAGAGGACACACGAGUAUUCACAUUC
rnacentral:snRNA from 1 species